rnacentral:rRNA from 1 species
AUUGAACGCUGGCGGCAGGCCUAACACAUGCAAGUCGAGCGGUAGCACAGAGAGCUUGCUCUCGGGUGACGAGCGGCGGACGGGUGAGUAAUGUCUGGGAAACUGCCUGAUGGAGGGGGAUAACUACUGGAAACGGUAGCUAAUACCGCAUAACGUCGCAAGACCAAAGUGGGGGACCUUCGGGCCUCAUGCCAUCAGAUGUGCCCAGAUGGGAUUAGCUAGUAGGUGGGGUAACGGCUCACCUAGGCGACGAUCCCUAGCUGGUCUGAGAGGAUGACCAGCCACACUGGAACUGAGACACGGUCCAGACUCCUACGGGAGGCAGCAGUGGGGAAUAUUGCACAAUGGGCGCAAGCCUGAUGCAGCCAUGCCGCGUGUGUGAAGAAGGCCUUCGGGUUGUAAAGCACUUUCAGCGGGGAGGAAGGCGGUGAGGUUAAUAACCUCAUCGAUUGACGUUACCCGCAGAAGAAGCACCGGCUAACUCCGUGCCAGCAGCCGCGGUAAUACGGAGGGUGCAAGCGUUAAUCGGAAUUACUGGGCGUAAAGCGCACGCAGGCGGUCUGUCAAGUCGGAUGUGAAAUCCCCGGGCUCAACCUGGGAACUGCAUUCGAAACUGGCAGGCUAGAGUCUUGUAGAGGGGGGUAGAAUUCCAGGUGUAGCGGUGAAAUGCGUAGAGAUCUGGAGGAAUACCGGUGGCGAAGGCGGCCCCCUGGACAAAGACUGACGCUCAGGUGCGAAAGCGUGGGGAGCAAACAGGAUUAGAUACCCUGGUAGUCCACGCCGUAAACGAUGUCGAUUUGGAGGUUGUGCCCUUGAGGCGUGGCUUCCGGAGCUAACGCGUUAAAUCGACCGCCUGGGGAGUACGGCCGCAAGGUUAAAACUCAAAUGAAUUGACGGGGGCCCGCACAAGCGGCGGAGCAUGUGGUUUAAUUCGAUGCAACGCGAAGAACCUUACCUGGUCUUGACAUCCACAGAACUUUCCAGAGAUGGAUUGGUGCCUUCGGGAACUGUGAGACAGGUGCUGCAUGGCUGUCGUCAGCUCGUGUUGUGAAAUGUUGGGUUAAGUCCCGCAACGAGCGCAACCCUUAUCCUUUGUUGCCAGCGGUCCGGCCGGGAACUCAAAGGAGACUGCCAGUGAUAAACUGGAGGAAGGUGGGGAUGACGUCAAGUCAUCAUGGCCCUUACGACCAGGGCUACACACGUGCUACAAUGGCAUAUACAAAGAGAAGCGACCUCGCGAGAGCAAGCGGACCUCAUAAAGUAUGUCGUAGUCCGGAUUGGAGUCUGCAACUCGACUCCAUGAAGUCGGAAUCGCUAGUAAUCGUAGAUCAGAAUGCUACGGUGAAUACGUUCCCGGGCCUUGUACACACCGCCCGUCACACCAUGGGAGUGGGUUGCAAAAGAAGUAGGUAGCUUAACCUUCGGGAGGGCGCUUACCACUUUGUGAUUCAUGACUGGGGUGA